GAACAUGGAUGGACCUGCGGUGCAUUAGCUAGUUGGUAAGGUAACGGCCUACCAAGGCGACGAUGCAUAGCCGACCUGAGAGGGCGAACGGCCACAUUGGGAGUGAGACACGGCCCAAACUCCUACGGGAGGCAGCAGUAGGGAAUUUUCGUCAAUGGGGGGAACCCUGAACGAGCAAUGCCGCGUGAGUGAAGACGGUCUUCGGAUUGUAAAGCUCUGUUGUGAGAGAAAAAGGAUAUAUAUAGGAAAUGAUAUGUAUUUGAUGGUAUCUCACCAGAAAGUCACGGCUAACUACGUGCCAGCAGCCGCGGUAAUACGUAGGUGGCGAGCGUUAUCCGGAAUGAUUGGGCGUAAAGGGUACGUAGGCGGCAUGAUAAGUCUGGAGUGAAAGGCUACAGCUCAACUGUAGUAUGCUCUGGAAACUGUCAAGCUAGAGUGCAGAAGAGGGCAAUGGAACUCCAUGUGUAGCGGUAAAAUGCGUAGAUAUAUGGAAGAACACCGGUGGCGAAGGCGGUUGCCUGGUCUGAAACUGACGCUGAAGUACGAAAGCGUGGGGAGCAAAUAGGAUUAGAUGCCGUAGUAGUCCACUCGGGAAACGUUUAUAACUAGGAGUCGGGUUACAGUCGCGGUACAGUUAUGACCGGGAGACGUUUUUCACUCGGGG
rnacentral:rRNA from 1 species